rnacentral:rRNA from 1 species
UACGUAGGUGGCAAGCGUUGUCCGGAUUUAUUGGGUUUAAAGGGUGCGUAGGCGGUUUUUUAAGUCAGUGCUGAAAUACUCCAGCUUAACUGGAGGGGUGGCAUUGAUACUGGAAGACUUGAGUACAGAUGAGGUAGGCGGAAUUGACGGUGUAGCGGUGAAAUGCAUAGAUAUCGUCAAGAACACCGAUAGCGAAGGCAGCUUACUGGGCUGUAACUGACGCUGAUGCACGAAAGUGUGGGGAGCGAACGGG